GUCUUUAGAAGGUACGAGACGGAUCUUCGUAUGUGUGUUUUGUGUGCUGUUAAGUAAGUUCUUAGCCUGAGAGGCCUCCAGCUCUUGGCAGUUAGGAUCUUUUUAAGCCGGCUGGCAUUUCUAGGCCAGUCGCAGGCCAUCGCACGGUUUACAAGGAACGGUGCCAGGCAUGAAUGCAAUGUGGCUUUUGAUGGCUUCUGGUGGACAGUUGUGUACCAAAGGGAUGAGAACCGCUGCUGGGGUCUUAAAGCACAAGCUUAAUGCUGUAUCCAUGGGCAAACAGGCACUAUGCAGGAAGUUAAGCACUAUGUAGGCACUAAGCUGAAAGUUCAAGGGGUGGACUUGAAUCCUUGACAUGUCCGGGCCAACUUUUUGGAUCCUGGGUACACGUUUUUAUCCAUGGAUGGCUUGCUUGGGGUGACAAGAGAGGUACUGGCUACAACGCAGGGAGCAAGACCUUUUAAGCAAAGGCACAUGUGUUACCCUGAAGAUUUCAAGGGCAUUUAUGACAGCAGUCAUGCAGCUUAACAGUUGACAGGCAGCUGGAUGGAUGCUCAUGGGAUAGGAGAGGAAACAACUUUCAAUUUUUUUAAAAGCCUAUUGUAUUUAUUGGCCAUGCUGCACAGCAUGUAGGAUCUUAGUUCCCCCACCAGGGAUUGAACCCGUGCCCCCUGCAGUGGAAGCGCAGAGCCCUAACCACUGGACCACCAGGGAAUUCUCCAACUUUGAAUUUUAAUAAAUAUUUAUGAACCA
rnacentral:lncRNA from 1 species